CCUACGGGGCGCAGCAGUGAGGAAUAUUGGUCAAUGGGCGCGAGCCUGAACCAGCCAAGGAGCGUGAAGGAUGACUGCCCUACGGGUUGUAAACUUCUUUUAUAAAGGAAUAAAGUGAGGCACGUGUGCCUUUUUGUAUGGACUUUAUGAAUAAGGAUCGGCUAACUCCGUGCCAGCAGCCGCGGUAAUACGGAGGAUCCGAGCGUUAUCCGGAUUUAUUGGGUUUAAAGGGCGCGUAGAUGGGUUGUUAAGUCAGUUGUGAAAGUGUGCGGCUCAACCGUAAAAUUGCAAUUGAUACUGGGAGGCUUGAGUACAGUUGAGGUAGGCGGAAUUCGUGGUGUAGCGGUGAAAUGCUUAGAGAUCACGAAGAACUCCGAUUGCGAAGGCAGCUUACUAAACUGCCACUGACAUUGAUGCUCGAAAGUGUGGGUAUCAAACAGGAUUAGAUACCCCAGUAGUC
rnacentral:rRNA from 1 species